CGGGUGCACAGACUGAAAGAAACGAUGGCUUUUCCGCAGGUGUUACCUGGGAUGUCACGUGACCUCCUGGGAGACUUUACAGGUACUCUAUCACAUCUGUGCCUGGUAAGCAGAUAAUAUGGGAUGGUGAAAUAAGUCCAGAGACUCAGCAAAUGGGGACCAGUGUUCAGUAGAAGAGACUCUGCCGGUCUGCACAGAAGGACCAAUGUUUAGUAGAAGAGACUCUGCCGGUCUGCAGAGGAGGACCAGUGUUCAGUAGAAGAGAC